GAGCCUGAACCAGCCAAGUAGCGUGCAGGAUGACGGCCCUAUGGGUUGUAAACUGCUUUUAUACGGGGAUAAAAGGGUGAACGUGUUCUCCUUUGCAGGUACCGUAUGAAUAAGGACCGGCUAAUUCCGUGCCAGCAGCCGCGGUAAUACGGAAGGUCCUGGCGUUAUCCGGAUUUAUUGGGUUUAAAGGGAGCGCAGGCUGCACUUUAAGCGUGUUGUGAAAUGUACCGGCUCAACCGGUAACGUGCAGCGCGAACUGGGGUGCUUGAGUACGAAGAGGGAAGGCGGAACUCGUGGUGUAGCGGUGAAAUGCUUAGAUAUCACGAGGAACUCCGAUCGCGAAGGCAGCUUUCCGUUUCGGAACUGACGCUGAGGCUCGAAAGUGCGGGUAUCGAACAGGAUUAGAUACCCUGGUAGUCCGCACGGUAAACGAUGGAUGCCCGUUGUCAGGCUGUUUCAGCCUGGUGACCAAGCGAAAGCAUUAAGCAUCCCACCUGGGGAGUACGCCGGCAACGGUGAAACUCAAAGGAAUUGACGGGGGCCCGCACAAGCGGAGGAACAUGUGGUUUAAUUCGAUGAUACGCGAGGAACCUUACCCGGGCUUGAACCAAGAGUGACGAGUGCAGAGAUGCGCUUAUUCUUCGGACACUUUUGGAGGUGCUGCAUGGUUGUCGUCAGCUCGUGCCGUGAGGUGUCGGCUUAAGUGCCAUAACGAGCGCAACCCCUUUUCUUAGUUGCCAUCAGGUAAUGCUGGGCACUCUGGGAACACUGCCACCGCAAGGUGUGAGGAAGGUGGGGAUGACGUCAAAUCAGCACGGCCCUUACGUCCGGGGCUACACACGUGUUACAAUGGGGGGUACAGAAGGUCGCUACCUGGUGACAGGAUGCCAAUCUUUAAAACCUCUCUCAGUUCGGAUCGGAGUCUGCAACUCGACUCCGUGAAGCUGGAUUCGCUAGUAAUCGCGCAUCAGCCAUGGCGCGGUGAAUACGUUCCCGGGCCUUGUACACACCGCCCGUCAAGCCAUGGAAGUUGGGAGUACCUGAAGAGCGUAACCGGAAGGGGCGCUUAAGGGUAAUACCAGUGACUGGGGCUAAGUCGUAACAAGGUAGCCGUACCGGAAGGUGCGGCUG
rnacentral:rRNA from 1 species